GGGCUGGCUUUAGCUCAGCGGUUCCUUCGCAUACAAGACUUCCUGGUCGCACGUCGCUCACUUGAGCGACAGCGGUUCAGGACCCGCGGGCGCUCUCCAGCCCUUUU
rnacentral:vault_RNA from 1 species